rnacentral:rRNA from 1 species
AACGAACGCUGGCGGCAUGCCUAACACAUGCAAGUCGAACGAGACCUUCGGGUCUAGUGGCGCACGGGUGCGUAACGCGUGGGAAUCUGCCCUUGGGUUCGGAAUAACAGCGAGAAAUUGCUGCUAAUACCGGAUGAUGACGUAAGUCCAAAGAUUUAUCGCCCAAGGAUGAGCCCGCGUAGGAUUAGCUAGUUGGUGAGGUAAAGGCUCACCAAGGCGACGAUCCUUAGCUGGUCUGAGAGGAUGAUCAGCCACACUGGGACUGAGACACGGCCCAGACUCCUACGGGAGGCAGCAGUGGGGAAUAUU